rnacentral:rRNA from 1 species
AGCAGCCGCGGUAAUUCCAGCUCCAAUAGCGUAUAUUAAAGUUGUUGCAGUUAAAAGCUCGUAGUUGAAUUUCGGGGUCAAUACGUCGGUCGUGCCUCGGUACGCACUGACGUUAUUGAUCCCUCCCUUCUGACGAACCGUGAUGUCAUUAAUUUGGUGUUGCGGGGAAUCAGGACUGUUACCUUGAAAAAUUAGAGUGUUUAAAGCAGGCAAUCGCUCGAAUACAUUAGCAUGGGAUAAUGAAAUAGGACGUUCGAACCUAUUUUGUUGGUUUCUAGGAUCGACGUAAUGAUUAAUAGGGAUAGUUGGGGGCAUUAGUAUUCAAUUGUCAGAGGUGAAAUUCUUGGAUUUAUUGAAGACUAACUACUGCGAAAGCAUUUGCCAAG